GGUUGUGGCUCAAUGGUAGAGCACUUGCCUAGCAUGUGUGAGGCACUGGGUUCAAUUCUCAGCACCG
rnacentral:tRNA from 1 species